rnacentral:rRNA from 1 species
CCCUAGUAACGGCGAGUGAAGCGGCAAGAGCUCAAAUUUGAAAGCUGGCCCCCUCGGGGUCCGCAUUGUAAUUUGCAGAGGAUGCUUCGGGAACGGCCCCCAUCUAAGUGCCCUGGAACGGGCCGUCAUAGAGGGUGAGAAUCCCGUCUGGGAUGGGGUGGCCGCGCCCGUGUGAAGCUCCUUCGACGAGUCGAGUUGUUUGGGAAUGCAGCUCUAAUUGGGUGGUAAAUUUCAUCUAAAGCUAAAUAUUGGCCGGAGACCGAUAGCGCACAAGUAGAGUGAUCGAAAGAUGAAAAGCACUUUGAAAAGAGAGUUAAACAGCACGUGAAAUUGUUGAAAGGGAAGCGCUUGCGACCAGACUCGCCCGCGGGGUUCAGCCGGCACUCGUGCCGGUGUACUUCCCCGCGGGCGGGCCAGCGUCGGUUUGGGCGGCCGGUCAAAGGCCUCUGGAAGGUAACGCCUCUCGGGGCGUCUUAUAGCCAGGGGUGCCAUGCGGCCUGCCCGGACCGAGGAACGCGCUUCGGCUCGGACGCUGGCAUAAUGGUCGUAAGCGACCCGUCUUGAAACACGGACCAAGGAGUCUAACAUCUACGCGAGUGUUCGGGUGUCAAACCCGUGCGCGCAGUGAAAGCGAACGGAGGUGGGAACCCCCCGGGGUGCACCAUCGACCGAUCCUGAUGUCUUCGGAUGGAUUUGAGUAAGAGCGUAGCUGUUGGGACCCGAAAGAUGGUGAACUAUGCCUGAAUAGGGCGAAGCCAGAGGAAACUCUGGUGGAGGCUCGCAGCGGUUCUGACGUGCAAAUCGAUCGUCAAAUUUGGGUAUAGGGGCG